AUACGGAGGGGGCUAGCGUUGCUCGGAAUUACUGGGCGUAAAGGGCGUGUAGGCGGGACAUCAAGUUAGGCGUGAAAGCCCCGGGCUCAACCCGGGAACUGCGUUUAAUACUGAUGACCUAGAGUCCGUGAGAGGGUGGUGGAAUUCCCAGUGUAGAGGUGAAAUUCGUAGAUAUUGGGAAGAACACCAGUGGCGAAGGCGGCCACCUGGACCGGUACUGACGCUGAGGCGCGAAAGCGUGGGGAGCAAACAGAAUUAGAAACCCCAGUAGUCC
rnacentral:rRNA from 1 species